rnacentral:misc_RNA from 1 species
ACUUUCAAUUUCUAUUUUCCCUUUGUCGACUUUUCAAGUUCGUGCAUACUAUAUUACCGAAAUGGCAGGUAUAGUGAGAAGAAUUAUCCAAACUGCAAAGGCUCCAUCAGCCAUAGGACCAUACAGCCAAGCAGUCCUAGUAGAGAACACUCUGUAUGUGUCCGGACAGAUAGGAAUGAGUCCCAAAGACGGAAACAUUGUACAAGGGGGUGUGGUGCCUGAAGCUGAGCAGGUCAGUUUAUAACUGAAUUUAAGUUUACUUGGACAUCUCAACAAUAAUACUAUGAAAUCAUCAUUGCUCGUGAGGGACCAAUGUUCAUUACUUUUGUGGGUAGCUCUUUCUCACGAAUUUACAUCCCUACAAACAUAUAUAAAGCAUUUGUUUAAUAUUUAUUAAAUUAUCCCAAACUUGCUACCAACAAAAUUAUGUUCCCAUGAACCAGGAAAAACUUGGCUACUCACAAACAUUGUCCCCCACGAAUAAAAAUGAUUCAACACUAUUACGUUUACCUUUGAACCAAGUGGUAAUCUUGACUUCUAAAAUACCGGUAGUUGUAAUUUGCAAGUAAAAUCUUUGUAGAAAUGUUUUAAAUGUUCAGAAAUAAUAUAAAUUUUUACUUAAUACAUUGCUUAAAACUUUCAAAAUACUCUUGGACUAAGGGGUUACCAAUCACAGCAACACCUAGGAUGUUUUGAUAAUUCUCAAACAGAAUGAGCGGUUUUAUAGAGUAUAUAUAGACUAUUUUAGUAUGGUUUACCUGAAAGAAAAAAAGUGUCAAAAACCCAUUGCGAUGUAUGAUAUGCACCCCUUUCUCAAAGAUUGAAAUAUUCUUGAAAAAAGUGUGUAUUAUAUGUGAUGAAUUACAUGUACAUUAUUUUAUAUACGCAUUUGCAGUUUGGAAUGCAUUGUUGGUUGUGUUCAUGGGCGUUAAUUCAUUGCAAACAUGAAACCAAAAUGUUUGUUGUGUGAAUCGGUUCAUGGUUCCUUCAUGAUUCACGAUGUGUACCUGGUCAUGACACAUCAUUAUGACAUGGUUUAGUUCUACUUAUUAUAUGUUAGUUAAUUAGUACUGGCCCAACCAGGGUUAACCUGUGAUUGGCUAUAUUGUUCAAAUCAGGGAAAUCUCUGAAUCUCAUAGAUAACAGGAAGAUGUGCCAGUUAGAGCCAUAUAUAUAUUGAACACAAGUAUUAGGGAAAAUAGAUUCAACUUUCUGUCUUACAUGUAUGUUUAAAAAGAUAUUGAGAUAAACUACACAAUUUUUAAAGGCUCAGUUCAUUCGUAAAGGGAGAUAACUCUGAGUUUCUUAAUCACAGAAAGAGACUCUACUAGUGACUCUUUCAGUUAAUGUUCAUAUUGUAAAAUAGAUAAAGUUUUAUAAUACAUAAUAUUUUUCAAAACAUAAGAUGUCAAAAUAUUUUAUAUAUUCAUGGUUAGGCUUUGAAGAACAUGCAGGCAAUUUUAGAGGAAGCAGGCACUACAAUGGAUAAUGUUGUCAAAGCCACAGUUUUGUUGGAUGACAUCAAUAAUUUCGGAGCAGUGAAUGAAGUGUAUGCUAAAUUUUUCCAGAAGAGUUUUCCAGCACGAGCAGCUUAUCAAGUUGCAGCCUUACCAAAGGGGGCCAAAGUGGAGAUUGAAGCUGUGGCUGUUGUUGGAAAACUGGUGGAUACACAAUGACUAGAGGCUAGACUAUAGUUCAAAUACUUGUACAAUUUUGACCAGCAUACCUCUAAGGAAGUCCGAUUGAAUACUUCAUUUUUAUACAAAUUUAAAAGCAGUCAUUAUACAUCGUAUACAUUUUUAAAUUUAUAGUUUACAAAACCAGAUAUUUUUGUAUGGAAAUAAAAACAAAAACUUUU